CAUGAUCAAGUCUCCAUAAAAAUCCCUGAAGUAUGGAGUUCAAAGAGCUUCUGAGUUGUAGAGAUGGAAGUUUCAUCAUGCUGGCCAGACUGGUCUCAAACUCCUGGCCCGAAGUGAUCUGCCCACCUUGGCCUUCCGGAGUGCUGGGAUUACAGGCAUGCACCACCACACCUGGCUUGUAUGCUUUAUUAUAUCCUUUAUUAGCAUAAUAAACUGCUAAAAGUUAAGUAAGUGUUUCCCCGAGUUUGCUAAGCCAGCUUAGCAAAUUAAUGGAACCCAAGGCAUGGGUUGUAGGAACCCCUAAGCCAGUUGAUCAGAAGUACAGGUCACAACCUGAAAUUUGAGAUUGGCAUCUGAAGUGGGGUCCAUCUUGUGGGACUGACCCACAAUCUGUGAGGUCUGAUGCUAUCUCCAGGUAGAUAAUGCCAGAAUUGAAUUAAAUUAUAGAACACCCAGUUGAUGUCCACUGGAAAACUGCUUGGUGUAUGGGAAAAGACCGGCACACAUCUGGUGUCAGAAGGGCUGUGUUGAGUGGUAUGUGAAGGUGGAAGAAAAAAUAGUCAGUUCUUCCUAUUAUAUGCUUUCUUUUUCUUUUUUUUUUUUUUUAAGACGGAGUCUCACUCUGUCUC
rnacentral:lncRNA from 10 species